UGAAGAAUGAGUGCCCCUUUAAGUUGAAGAUGGAUGGUACUCAGCCCCCAGAUUUAAACAGGAUUCCGAGUAACUUUCUUGUGUUCACAAAGAAAGUAAGCAGGAGAACAAGGAAAAACUCAUUCCAUGGGCUUCUGAAAUCCCACCUGGAGAUUUGGGCCCCCUAAGCAAGUAUGUGGUCUUUCAAGUUCUCUUGGCAUCCGAAAGUUGGCAUCUGCUCCCUUAUACACAUCAUCCUCGCCAUUAAACAUAGUGCAAGCGAUUAAAGCUGCUAGGGUAAAAAACAAGUUUCAGUAUAACUAAAAUGGGAUUUCUUUUACUAACUAAAAUAAAGGAGAAUGUAAUAAAGUACUUUUGGAGAAAUAUUUUGUUCUAUAUUUUAAGAGAAAUGUAUGAGGGAUUGAAGAAAAAAUGAUCAUUAUAAGAAUAAGUUUUGAACUGUUUGAGCUACAGAAACGUGUCUUUUUGGCCUUUUUAUUUAGCCAUUUGUCUCAACAGACGUAAAACUUUUUAAAAAUAUGUUUAUGAUUAAAUUUUCAUAAUAUGAAAAUGGCGUGGGGACUAUAAAGAUGAAUAUGGAAAAACUUACAUGUAUUUGGCAUUACAAUAUGCCUGAGUGCUUUACAUAUCUUAUCUGGUUUGAUUCUCACACACACAUAGGGAUAAAGAAGCAAACUUAGAAAAGUAACAGUUGGUAGUGGGACAUGGAGAUGAGGCUAGGUCUGCCUGAUCUUAAACUUCCCAGCUCCCAGAACUGUGAGAAACAAGUUUCUCCCGUUGAAGACACUCAGUCUAUGGUUUUCCAUCAUAGCAGCCCGAGCUGACCAAGACACUCUCCCUGCUCUGCAGCCUGGAAACUCUCUUCAAUAGCCUGGAAAAUCACAGAUCUCAUCUCACUUGUCUUACUUCUCUCAAGGAUCACUGUCCAGCUCUGCCUUUUGUCAAUGUCUGAAAACCGUUAGUUGUUCCAUAUAUUUUGUCUAGCUUUUCAGUUCUUGAAUGAAAUAGGAUAAAUUAGUUCCUGAUACGCCAAUGAUAGCCAGAAGCAAAAGAUGACAGGUUGAACUUUACAAGCUUCCAUUAUCACAAUCAAGACAGCUCUAUUCUUUUGUGUCAAAAUGCACCCUAGACAUUUUAGUUUUCUCUGAACACUUCGUUUAACUUAUCUAAAGUCAUGUAGGCCAGGUUUUUCCCUUAGGAGCAAAGACCUGCUCCCUGGGGGCUCUGCAUUCCUGGAUACAUAAUGGGUGUGGUCAUUUUAUUUGGUUCAGUGAUCUGCAGUACACAUUUAUUGACCUUCAAUUAAUCCUCUGGUUUUCAGUCCCACUUUUCCCUCCUGCCUCUUGCUUUACCUGCUGCCUCUCAGCUCAGAGACUCUCCAGAGUUCUUUGAAGUGAAUUGGCUUCCCCUCACUUUGUAGCUUCUUCUGAGCAUUCUCAAGGCUUCAGUGUCUCUGCCUGCUCCGUCUAUUAACCUGCCUGUUUUCUUAUUUCCAAAGGUGGGUUAAGAUGUUUCAUUCAUUCUCAUUCUUUCAGUGUUUAUUUUUUUCUCCAUUUCUUUUAAUUUGUGAGGGGAGGUGGUACAUUUUGGUGAUGCAGAAUGUAAAGCGUGUGCCCAUCCAUUAUCAUCUCUUGGCUUUUCAAAAUAGACUCCCUUCAAUUUGUGUCACACCACUGAUUUUUUCUACUUUAGGGGAGUUUAAAUUUAUUACUGUUUACAAAUUUUAUUUUCACGUUUCUUUACGGAUUGGAAUGGAUGCCUAUUUCCAUCUAAGAUGAUUUCAUUCUUGUUUCCUGUGUCAUGCUUUUCACUUAUGAUAUAAAGUGCUUGUGCUGCAUUGGAUUACCCACUGAGAUAUCCUGGGAAUCCAACUUUUCUGACCCCAAUCCCAACACCCUCACCUCCUCCAGUAACCAGCUGUUCUUAUUCUCAUACUCAGGGGAUAUAUCAUCUGGGUAAAUAAAUUUAUGGAUCCUUCUCUCCUCUUGAGCAAGGGCAACUUCCACAUUUUUCAAGCUUCAGCCCCCUUCAGAAACUCAAAUUGAAAUCACAUAUGGUUCCAGUCCCAGAAGAGGUAGGAGUUCUGUCAGCUAGACUGUUUCUGGAAUAAAGGUUUAGACCAUUGAGCCACCUCAAACACUGAUUCUAUGUAAACUGGAGUAAUAGGGUCAAGGAAAUAUUGCUCUGAAAGUCUAGUCAUUCUAAAUCACACCUAAUAAUGACUGCUCACAUUCCAUAAAGUGAGCCCCAAAGAUGAGGACAAUAACUGAAGUUAGGAAGCAAUUCUUAAUUAAACACAAAUCUCAGCUAAUGGCUGUUUUACAAGAAGUAUAUACUUCAACAAUAUGUGGGUUUGUAAAGGUAAAGCCAUAGAAGGGAUAUUUUAUAUGUUUCAUUGAAUUAUUUUUCACCAACAAUCCCAAAGCUAAUUCUUACUCUUUUUCUCUUAGUAAGCUUUGAUAGCUUCUACUUGAACAUUCGAUUACCUUAUCUUUUUUUGUUGUUGUUGCAAAAAUAAGAUGGAUCUGCCCUAUGUGGAAGAAAACAACUAUCCUGAGAUUAUAGCUGAAGGUCCAGCAAUUUGUAAAGUGAGUGCAUCUUAUUGCACCCUCUGCUCUCCUGAUGAGCGAGAAGAUGACAGAUCUAGGUCCAUAGUCCUCUGCCCAGCCUGCAUAUGGGUGUGAAGGGAAAGACUAGGACCAAAACUAUCAGGGUCACAUCCCUUUUCUUAGCUGUGCGAUACUGGGGGAGAGGUACAAACUGAGAAUAGGAGUCAUCACACAGAUAUGCUUCUCCUCUUUUCAUCUUCAGUCUUCACAUCUCUAAUACACCAAGGGAUCAUAAAAUUCUGCAACCACAUAAAAGUACCCUCAGGAAAAAACAUUAAGCUACACUUUCCCUGAGAUAUCUCACCCCUCU
ensembl:lncRNA